rnacentral:misc_RNA from 1 species
GAAAUGCGAUAAGUAGUGUGAAUUACAGAAUUUAGCGAAUCAUCGAAUCUUUGAACGCACAUUGCGCCCCUUGGUAUUCCAUGGGGCAUGCCUGUUCGAGCGUCAUUUCAACCCUCAAGCACUGCUUGGUGUUGGGCGUUUGUCCCGCCUACGCGCGUGGACUCGCCUCAAAGUCAUUGGCAGCUGUUCCCCUUCGGCUCGUAAGCGCAGCACAGUCGGCGCCCGGAGCUCUGGUGGGAUGGCGUCCAGCAAGCUAUAUUUUCAGGCUUGACCUCGGAUCAGGUAGGGAUACCCGCUGAACUUAAGC